ensembl:lncRNA
GGGAAGGGGAACUAAAUGAAAGAAGUCAAGUUAGAGAAAAUAUUAACAGCAAAAGAGAGAAACACAAAAGGAGAGAAAUUCUAUUUAAAAAGUCCUUCAGUCUGUAAAAGAAUGAGGUGACUACAAAGACCAAGAGCAUCAAGGAGAGAAAGAACAAUCCCAAUGCAGGUAGCUGCUGUUACUAUAGCGACAACGGAAGAGGAGAGUUUGGAUUUCUAAAGUCAACUGUCAGCAGGAUAAAGGUAGAAAGUGAAGCCGCUCAACAACUACAUCACAUUAGUCAUCUAACAGACUCCCAUUCAGAGCGACACACAGAAGCAACCAGAGUCAACGCCCUGCUCAAUGGCACGUCGACAGAUCUCCCACAAGGUAUAAAAAAAGAACGGGGACCUGAACCAGCAAUCCAUCAGCCACCAGCCCUAGUUCCCAACCUCCAGGCCACCAGCCCUCCAAGAUCCCCCCCACAGUUCCCCAAGAGCUGCCCCUCAACCAUCCGAGACCCCUCCCACAGCCCCCCAAGAAAAGAUAUAUAUAUUUUGAAAUCCAUUACCCACCCCCCAAAUAACCAAGAAAAUGAACAAAAGAGGAAAAGACAAAGACAAAGGAAAACAGAUAAUAACAAUGCAAAAAAACAAGAGACAUCAAGGACAACAAAAAUCAUAACAGCAAGGCCAGCGGAAUAUGUCUGAGUGCAUUAUUGGCACUUUUUACCUGUGUGUGUAUUUGACUGAGAGUGUGUGUAUAAACACCUGCAAAGCAUCAGCCACAGGCAACCUGGCAUUA